UCCUCGCUGCGGCAAGUAACUUUCUCCCCUGUCCCUUUUUAUUUUCGUUUUCAAAAUUAGGGUUUGUUCAUUUUUCAUUUUUGCAGAGAAAGCCAAAGAAAUUGUUGGCUGACAAGAUUAGGAGAAAAUACAUACGUUUAUCUCGGAGACUUCCUCCACCCUUUUGAAGGGCGCAUAUACCAGUAAAAAACCGUACUGUUAUAAUACUCGAGACAGAUACUGGAGAACAAUACGAAGCCAAUUAUCUGCCUCAAUAUCGUGGACUCAGUGGUGGGUGGAAAAGGUUUGCCAUAGUUCUGAAAUUGGAAGGAGAUACUGUUGUUUUUCAACUAGUUGAACCUGCCAAAUUUAAGUCUACCUCUUCUAGAAUCAAAUCACUAAACUAGUUGAAGCUGAGGAUAAAAGCUGCUAAUGAAGCUGAGGCGGCUUGCCAACGGCGUCUCUCUGUUGCUGAGGCUGAAAUAGCUGAUUUAAGAUCCAAAUUGGA